ACAUUCAUGGGGGGUGCAGGAGGUAGUGGUCAAGCUAGUGGUGCGGGUCAUGAUGAAGACAUGGAAGAUGUCAUUGGGUCCGUGGGCGGUGGUGUUGAUGAGGAGGAUUGAAGACCUUGGUUUGGGUAGAUGGUCAAGCUAGUGGUGCGGGUCAUGAUGAAGACAUGGAAGAUGUCAUUGGGUCCGUGGGCGGUGGUGUUGAUGAGGAGGAUUGAAGACCUUGGUUUGGGUAGUAUUAGAUUUUUUAUUUGUUAGUUUUUUAUUAUUAUUAUUAUUAUUGUUUUUGUGUUUUUAAUUAUGGUUGUACUUUAGGAAGCAUCACAUGUUGGUGUUUCCCGUUUGUUUUUUUUGUUGUACUUUUGGUGGCUCUCGUUUCACCGUGAAC
rnacentral:lncRNA from 1 species